UGCAAUAGCAAAAACUAAAAUCUCUUAACUGAAAAGAUGUCUUCUCUCACACUAUUGUCCAUAAUUAGGAAUUUGGUCACAAGUAAGAGAAACUUGGUGACAGCCAUGUUAUCAUACUCCUCCUAACUUCUCUCUCUUCCAUAUGUCAAAUGACUUACUGAUUUAUUUUCUCCACAGGUACAAUAUUUGGCUCCUAGCUAGUGUGCAACAGAUCUUUGUUAUCAGAUCUUCUCCCUGCUACUUCAGAUAACUUUGACGAUUACUUAAAUUCUACUUCCCGGACUAACUUCUCUUUCCUUUCCACUGUAGGCUACCAGUGAGCACAUUUUAGAGCACAUUUACCCUUUGAUUAAUAGCUAAAUAAGCUUAGAAAUUUAGGAAAGGUAAAUUGGGCCACUUGGUACUUUUUCAUAUAAGGAAAACAAACUACUUGUGUGCCUCAGUGUUGCUUCUGGAGGAACUUUCCAGAGCAUUGAGCAGUUAGUACAAACUCCUAGCAUGAUGUGAGUCUUUCCAGUCCUGUGAUGUCAACUUUCUAUCUUGCCAGGGUUAAAGAAGUUUGGAUUAGGGUAAAUAGGUACCAUUUUCUUACAGAUGCAUAGUAUCUUCUUAUUGUUACACUCAAGAGUUAUGUUAGUGUUAAUUUGAACAGUCAGAAGAGUUUAGGUUAGAAUUUCAAAGAAAUGUAUGAAUCCUUCAAAUCUCAAUUUUCCUCUAUGGUAUAAAAUAUCACUCUUCUUUUAAAAAGAUCCUAAAAUCAUCCCAAAUUACCAGAUCCAAAUGCUGAACAACCAGUCCGUGUUUACCACGAGGAAUAGGGUUAAAAUUUGCUCUCCAAUGACAAAUCCCAACCCGGAACAGAUUUCAGCCAGGCAGCUAGCAGAGCUCGCCGGGUGAACUGCACAGGCCAUGGUGGGUGCACAGCUCAGAGCCGGAAAGCAAACAGCUGCUGUAGCCUGAUUUGAGUUAAAAUAGUGUGAGUGUUUAGUCUGGCGCACGGCUUCAGGGGAGAUUGGCAGCUGGGUCAAACAAAGUCCUUCCAUUGGCUCUCUUCCCAGGCAGCUUCUGCUAGUAUUUAGGUACUAGUGCAGUGUAGGGCCCUUUUCUCAGGCAAAAGCUAACAUCUGACCGCACCCUCUUUGCUUUUCCAAAAAAAAAAAAAAGAAAAAAAGAAAAAAGAAAGAAAAAAAGAAAAGAAAAAGAAAAAAAAAGAAAAAAGAAAGAAAAGAGAAAGAAAGGAAGGAAGAAAAAGAAAAGAAAAAAGAGAAAAAGAAAAAACCUUCUUUUUCCUUCUUUCAUUAAGAUAAAUUCUCCAAUAGACAACCUCUCCCACUAAUUGUGUAUUAGCAAUGUAUUUUAUCUUGAGAGCUGACGCACUGGGCUCUCAACGUGGUGUGGAAAGCAGCCUGUUACAGUGCUGGAUUCAUAAAAGGGCCUUUAUGGUUUGUGAAAGAAUAUCUGUGUGCUUAGGCAGGAAACUUUUUGAUCUGCAGAAAAGCCAGAAGACAUCUAGGUAAGGCUACAUAUCAAAUCUACUUUUGGGGGGAAAAGUUGGGCAGUGAGAAUGAUUUCUCACCAUCGUCGCGACUUUGGAGUGUGCAUGUUCACUUUUGUAGAAGUUUAAAAGGUACUGACUGUUGUUUGCUUAUUUUUUGUUUGUUUGUUUAAAUCUGAAGGGAAUACUGUGGUCUGCAUUUUUACGAUUUUGUUUUCUGCUAUUGAACUGAUUAUAGUGGAUAUAGAGUUUUACUAUAUAGCAAAAUCUUUGUAAACUGCCACAGAAAGAAAGUGUAUUUAGAAGGGAAAUUGACAAGUUUUAAAGAGUAAUUGUACAAUCAUUUGAGGACAGAGGAACGCUGCAUUAGACUAACAAGGGUUUAAUUACCAAAAAAAGUUUAAUGUUGCUUUGGAAGGAAUAUUAAGUAAGUUGUCUUUGUCUCGUACUUUUUAAUUUUAGUCGCUGAUUUAGCCUGUUGGGUCACAUUUUUUGUUAGCGCUGAAGGCUGCCAUGAAUCCCUAAUGAGGCCCCUUUGCACAUGAUUUUGGCACUUGGCCAAAAUCAACUUCCCAGCGGCAAGCUUUCUGUAAAGAACCUGGAGCAAUUUUUUUUUUUUUUUGAUUAGAAAUCAUGUCUGAAAGCUGCCACAACCAGUUGUGUAGGCAUGUCAAAAUGACUUUAUACAGUAAAUAUGAAACAAGCACGUAAAAAAAUUUCCUGAUAUUGUUGCUCUUUAUCAUUAUGAAUUCCUGCUUGUGGCCACCUCAAAUAGGUUAGAACAAGAACAAUCUCUUGAAAAGCAAUCUGAAAGAAAAUUUACUGAUUUUUUUUUUGUUUUUCUCAGCAGACCAGAGUAGGGGUGGCCAUCUCAUUGAGAUGUAUACAGUACGAAAGGGUUAUUCAAAACACUUGAGGAUAAAUAACAGAUGAAUUCUUAAAACUGUUAAUCUCUAGUAUCCUUGAAGAUUAAUCAGAGACCUUUUCAUGCACCUAUAAAGGGAAAAACUUAAAAUGGAUAUGAGAAGUGAAGAAAGUGAUCAUAGGAGAAAAUCAUCUCAGAACUCCUGAAAACAUAUGAUGUGCCAGCCAUUGUGCAAGGACAGGAAUGCAGCAAUGAGUGAACAUAAAGUUUCUCCUGAGGCCUAAGGUUAAAGAACCCAUGAAAGUUGUCUUGAGGUAAAUAUGUAAUUUCAGUGGACAUCAGUAAGUAAAUUUCAUCCCUAUAUGUAUGCCUAGGUUUGACAGAAAUCAAAUAAGCAACAUCCCUCACAUAAUAUUGCCUUAAUUAAGUUUUAUUUCUCUCUGGGUGUGAUACAUAGUGCAGAAGCACAAUCAAUGAACAUUGGCAAUUUGCUUAAAUCUUGCUCUUUUGUCCUAUUUAUAUAAUUUAUUGUGUCAGUGGUUCUUAAGUGGUGUGCUUCUGCAGCUCAUCAUCUGAAAAUCCUUUCCAGAUGUUCUGAAAAUAUUUCACUAAUUUGUAUAUUUUAUUUUUGAUAAGUAAGUACACAUGCUUGUGACUGAAAGAGAAAACACCCUUCUUUUAACCCCAGAGGAUAAUAUUUGGCCUUGAGAAUAAUUGAUUCAUGCCCUGCCCACUCCACCCUUAUUAUUCAAAUAGAGAUUAUUGAAGAAAGUCCUGCCCUAUAAAGUUAGCUGGUCCAAAAAGGAAAGGGAAAAGUACUUUAUUUUAAUGAUUUCUGUGGGAUCUGUAUAAAACUCCAUCUUUUCCCCCAUUAAGAAUCAUAUGUUCCUAGAAUAGGUUCCAUUCCUAAGUAUCAACACUGGAACACAGGUUUAAGAGAAGAAGUGAUGAUGUCUGUCAUGGCAUUUAUCCAGAGGUAAUUUCUCUGGUUGGCGAAUUUCAGGACCAGAAACCAAGCCUAUGGGACACCUGGGUGGCUCAGUGAUUGAGUAUCUGCCAUUGGCUCAAGUCAUGAUCCUGGGGUCCUGGGAUCGAGUCCUGCAUCAGGUUCCCCACGGGAAGCCUGCUUCUUCCUCUGCCUAUUUCUCUGCCCCUUUCUGUGUCUCUCAUAAAUAAAUAAAUAAAAUCUUGUGGAAAAAAAAAAGGAAACCAGGCCUACUAUUUUUUGGCUUGUUAGACAAUAAAGAGAGGAUGAAAACUGCUCUAUAUAUUCACAUGAAUAACUAUCUGUUGUGGGCAGCUAUUAUUAUGUACAUUAUGCUUCUCUUUAUAUAUUACAGUUCAUUGUCUUUUUUUCCCCUUGCAUCUCUAGGAAAGAUAAUUGCAAUCCUUGAUAAUAAAAAGCAGAUCAAUACUUGCCUGAUCUGGGGGCUGGAGGAGUAGCUGGAAGAAGGUACAGGGGACUUUUAUGUGAUGAGGGAAUUAUUAUGUACCUUCAUAUUGAUACUAGUUACACAGGCCUAUAAAUUUUUCAGAACUCAUCCGACUAUACACUUAAAAUGUAUGCACUGUAUUCUAUAUAACGUUUUCCACAAAAAAAAACUCAUUAAAAAUAAACAAUGAGCGAGCCAUGUGACCUUUUCCUCACUGUCACCUUCUAAAUGCUUUGUGAGAACAUCUGGUUGGCCAGACAUAGUCUCACUCAGAAACCAAGCUUCAAAAGAGUCUAGCAAAUGCAAUUUUAGUUUUAGGUUCCAUUCUCAAUGGAUAGGAUCAGAUACUAGAAAGUAGAUGGUAGAGAUGUUCAGCUGAGCCAACAUUUAAGGUAUAAAUAUUUCUCCUCAUUCCUUUGGUAUAUUCAGGGGACCAGAACUAAUGAAUCAAGCACAUACACACACACACACACACACACACACACACACAACACACACACAAACACAUGCUCAUGUUAUAAACAUACAUGCAAAUACUUCCCAUGGAUAAACACUUUGCUCAAAUACAAUGAACUGGGGACGCCUGGGUGGCUCAGCGGUUGAGGUCUGCCUUCGGCCCAGGGCGUGAUCCUCUCUAACUAACUCUUCCUUAUUUCAUUCAGCAUACUGUUUCUGGAAUUUAUCCAUACUACUGACAUGGUAGACAGGAUUCUAAGAUGGUCCCCAAGAGUCUUGCCUCCUGGUAUACACCCUUUCUCUCAGUUAUUCAAGGUAACACUAACCUAGAUGCUAUUAUGGCGGAUUUUUUUUCAGAUGUAAUCAGAUUCUCUAAUACAUUUAAGUAGGAAUAUUUUCCUGUUGAACCUGACCUAAGCAGGUGAGCCUUUAGAAAAAGUUAGAGAUAUUUAAAGCAUGAGAGAAACUUAACUGUUGGCUUUUAAAGAGAAAAUAUCCAUGUUAUAGAGAAAGCCCUGAAGCAGGGAGCACCAGGCAACCCCCAGCAGCUGAGAGCAGUCCUGUGUUGACAGCCAACGAGAAAGCUGCCACCUCAGUGUUACAAUCAUAAAGAACUGAAUUCUGUCAACAACCACGUGAACUUAACGGAGACUCUGAGCUACAGAGUCAUAAGACCACAGCAAUGUUCAGCACCUUGAAUGCAGUCUGUUGAGAUGAGCAGAGACCCCAGCUAUGUCAUGCCCAGACUUCUGACAUACAGACCAUGAAUUAAUAAUAGAUGGACAUUGGGACACCUGGGUGGCUCAGUGGUUGAGCUUCUGCCUUCAGCUCAGGGCAUGAUCCUGGGGUCCUGGGAUGGAGUCCGGCAUCAGGCUCCCCGCAGGCAACCUGUUUCUUCCUCUGCUUGUAUCUGUAUCUC